rnacentral:rRNA from 1 species
UACGUAGGGCGCAAGCGUUGUCCGGAAUUAUUGGGCGUAAAGAGCUCGUAGGCGGUUUGUCGCGUCUGCUGUGAAAACUCGAGGCUCAACCUCGGGCUUGCAGUGGGUACGGGCAGACUAGAGUGCGGUAGGGGAGACUGGAAUUCCUGGUGUAGCGGUGAAAUGCGCAGAUAUCAGGAGGAACACCGGUGGCGAAGGCGGGUCUCUGGGCCGUAACUGACGCUGAGGAGCGAAAGCGUGGGGAGCGAACAGG